UGUCAGCGUGAACCCUGCACUUAGUAAUUUUAAACUGCAAGUACAAUUUUCUGCCUGGGGAAAUAGAUUGUUUAGCAAUAAAUUUUGCUGUUUAUGAUUUCUUUCACUUAUCUCAUACACAGAACAUUCUUUAAUUUUGUGUGAGAGAAUGUGUUUGUUUACUUCAAAAAGUAAACAGAAUUCCUGUUAACCAGCAUUUCUGGCUUCUUAAGGGAAUCAGCUCGACCAAGACACUACACAGAGGGCAGAAAAGGUUUGACCUGAAACACAGUCAACCAAAUGACUUAGUCAGACGUUCUACAGCCAAUCAUGCAGAGAGUUAAAACCAAACAAUAUAAAAAGGAACUGCUGGCCUUGGGGUCUUCAUUGGUUGGGGAUGUUACUUGGAACCCUGACAGCAACAACAAUUGGAAUGAGAAUGGCUAGAACAAGAAUAAAACAUCAAGAGGGCACCCAGUGGAGAAGACUUAAAUCUAAACAGCUAAAAGCACUACUAAACCAGAAGUAUUUUCUCCUCAUCACUAUCAAUUGGAUCCCAAAGAUAUGAAAACAAUGCAAGGUUCAAGAUCCUACCUGAUUAAAGUAAUUAAUGAAUUAA